GUCUCCAUAGCUCAGUGGUUUAGAGCGGCCGCCUGCAGUGUAUUCCUUGCAUAGCGGCAGGUCACGUGUUCAAAUCACGUUGGGGACU
rnacentral:tRNA from 1 species